rnacentral:rRNA from 1 species
GACAGAGGUGCCGAGCGUUAGGCGGAAUCACUGGGCUUAAAGCGUGUGUAGGCGGGCCGUUAAGCGCCCCGUGAAAUCCCCCGGCUCAACCGGGGAACGGCGGGGCGGACUGGCGGCCUUGAGGCACCCAGGGGUCAGCGGAACAGGCGGUGGAGCGGUGAAAUGCGUAGAUAUCGCCUGGAACGCCGACGGCGAAAGCAGCUGACUGGGGGUGUCCUGACGCUGAGACGACGAAAGCCAGGGGAGCGAACGGAGUAGAUGACCCCAGUAGUCCGAGU